GGUGUCCGGCAAACACGCUCAGGCAGCUGGCAGAAGCAGUGCGAAUCGAUGGGCAGCAAGAGGCCCGCUCUGGCCCAGCCUCCCCACAGGGCUCUGAGACUCUGUCCCAUCUUUCUGACAAAUGCCAGGGAAGAGAAAGGCGCCUGUGUUGGAUGGGAAAGAUUACAGCUGAGCAGUAAGGCACAAAGACCCCACAGACAACCCGGGUCUAUUGUCACUUCCAGAUGAAAUCGGCCAACCCCAGGGGCCUUUCUGACUGUUCCACCCUGCAGGGACCUGGUCUGCCUCAUGUCUAGAGCACUUUUCAUAGGCCCCAUAAUCAGGCACUUGAUUCUUUGCCUGCCAUGCCCAGCUCUCAUUGUUGUGGUCGUCGUUGGUGAUUUGUGGGUCCUCUUGUGGAGAGAACAGAGAUCCGGCUGCCUCCAGCUCUCCUCCGUCAUUGAACUUGCUAUAGAGACAGGCACACAAGUUUCUGCUUGCCCACUCUAUGGAAAAUGGGACCAGCUGGCCACAGACGGAUGUACAAACCCUCCCUACCGGCUCGGACCCUCCUAGGACUAUUCGUGGGCACUCAGUCCCUUUCAGAAGCGAGGAGAUGCCCCUCACUCCAAGGG
ensembl:lncRNA